rnacentral:rRNA from 1 species
UCUAGAGGCUUCGUCAAUGGGGGCAACCCUGAACGAGCGACGCCGCGUGUGGGAUUGAAGGCCUUCGGGUCGUAAACCACUGUCAUUGGGGAAGAAUGCCUGGAUGGCGAAUCCAGGAGCGACGGUACCCAAGAAGGAAGCCCCGGCUAACUCCGUGCCAGCAGCCGCGGUAAUCCGGAGGGGGCAAGCGUUGUUCGGAUUUACUGGGCGUAAAGGGUGUGUAGGCGGUUGCGUAAGUCUGGUGUGAAAUCUUCACCGCUCAACGGGAAGAGGUCACUGGAAACUGCGUAACUCGAGUAUGGAAGAGGCAAGCGGAAUUCCUGGUGUAGCGGUGGAAUGCGUAGAUAUCAGGAAGAACACCGGUGGCGAAGGCGGCUUGCUGGGCCAUCACUGACGCUGAGACACGAAAGCGUGGGGAGCAAACG